AAACGACUCUCGGCAACGGAUAUCUCGGCUCACGCAUCGAUGAAGAACGUAGCAAAAUGCGAUACUUGGUGUGAAUUGCAGAAUCCCGUGAACCAUCGAGUUUUUGAACGCAAGUUGCGCCCGAAGCCAUCCGGUUGAGGGCAUGCCUGCCUGGGCGUCACG
rnacentral:rRNA from 1 species